CCGGUGCCGGGGCUUCUCCCGUCU
rnacentral:tRNA from 1 species